CUUUAUUGGAGAGUUUGAUCCUGGCUCAGGACGAACGCUGGCGGCAUGCCUAAUACAUGCAAGUCGAGCGGACUUGAAGAGAAGCUUGCUUCUCUGAUGGUUAGCGGCGGACGGGUGAGUAACACGUAGGCAACCUGCCCUCAAGUUUGGGACAACUACCGGAAACGGUAGCUAAUACCGAAUAGUUGUUUUC
rnacentral:rRNA from 3 species